GUGCUUCCCUCUGUCCAAAGGAUCUUCGUGAAGUGCAUUUACUGGACCUGGGACUGGGAGAGAGUGGAUCUGAGAACUUUAAACCUCAGAUGUGAUUUAAUAUCCAUGAGCCCUGCAAGAUCAAAGAGCUACUUGUAAUUUUCAGACAUAUCAACAGAUUUCCCAUUCCCAGAUGUGAGUUCAACAAGGAAAUCCAUGUGCUUGUGCAUAAAGACUCUGGACUGGAAAUCAAGAAAUCUAGGUUCUGACUCUGGAUCUACCACAUACCUGCUAUGUAACUAUAGG